rnacentral:misc_RNA from 1 species
GUAUUGUAUUGCGUUAAACGCGGCAUACAUUCCACGAGACUUUAUCACCGAGUGUGUGUGUGUGUAAAGAGAUAUAGGACUACAGAAGGAAGGCAGGGCCUCCCCGACUAUAGAACUACAGAAAGUGCACAGGUGUGAGUGGAUGUGUAAACAGAGCGUGCACAUGCCCCCAUACAGGGGCCAGCAACAACCCUUGUUGACAAUUCGGUAAUGAUCCUUCCGCAGGUUCACCUACGGAAA